rnacentral:ncRNA from 1 species
AAUCCGAGUGAGGGAGUGUGAUUUUCGUGCCGGACCGUACCCACAUCCGCAGCAGGUCUCCAAGGUGAACAGCCUCUAGUCGAUGGACCAAUGUAGGUAAGGGAAGUCGGCAAAACGGAUCCGUAACCUUGGGAUAAGGAUUGGCUCUGAGGACUGAGCCGGUCGGGCUGGGGACCUGAAGCAGGAACGGCACUGCACCGGGACUUGGCGGGGCUCGCCGUUGACGCGGCGCGGCCAAGCCCGGACUAGCGUCGGGACCUUCCUGUGGAAAGCCUCAGCUGCGCGGCGUCCGAGGGCUUCGUGCCCAAAGUGCUAUGCUUCGGCCGGCAAAAAACAGUCAACUCAGAACUGGCACGGACCGGGGGAAUCCGACUGUCUAAUUAAAACAAAGCAUUGCGAUGGCCGCUGGUCGGUGUUGACGCAAUGUGAUUUCUGCCCAGUGCUCUGAAUGUCAACGUGAAGAGAUUCAUCAAAGCGCGGGUAAACGGCGGGAGUAACUAUGACUCUCUUGUGGCCAUGAUGGCCGCCACCUGACUGCCAGCCUGCACUUUCCUCGGCUGUCCUGCGCCAAACCUGCCUCCAGGUCAGCUGGCUCGGUGUCAGAGCUGUCCCGCUGCCGGAAUUCCUGCGAAGGAAGACUUUCCAUGCGGCGGGUGGCCUCCUGCUCAUCAUCUGGCUCGCCAGGCAUCGAGGUGAAGGCUCCUUUGUUCCCAACCCAAGCAGCAUCUGGGCCCCACUAAGACGGCGCUGGGGGCCGAUCCCGGCGCAGUCAAGGCUUCCCCUUCAACACAGGGCGGCAGAGGACCGAGCGGCAGCAUGGCAAGUGCUUUGAACAGCAUAGAAUUGUAUAAUUUGCGCUGAACGAACUGUUUUACGCUCGGAAGCACGUUUGUUUUGAUCGGCCCCGGAGGCAGUGCAAUAC